UACGGAGGGUGCAAGCGUUAUCCGGAUUCACUGGGUUUAAAGGGUGCGUAGGUGGGCAGGUAAGUCCGUGGUGAAAUCUCUGAGCUUAACUCAGAAACUGCCGUGGAUACUAUUUGUCUUGAAUGUUGUGGAGGUGAGCGGAAUAUGUCAUGCAGCGGUGAAAUGCUUAGAUAUGACAUAGAACACCAAUUGCGAAGGCAGCUCACUACACAAUUAUUGACGCUGAGGCACGAAAGCGUGGGGAUCAAACAGG
rnacentral:rRNA from 1 species